ACGGAAGGCAGCAGUGGGGAAUAUUGCACAAUGGGCGAAAGCCUGAUGCAGCGACGCCGCGUGAGUGAAGAAGUAUCUCGGUAUGUAAAGCUCUAUCAGCAGGGAAGAAAAUGACGGUACCUGACUAAGAAGCCCCGGCUAACUACGUGCCAGCAGCCGCGGUAAUACGUAGGGGGCAAGCGUUAUCCGGAUUUACUGGGUGUAAAGGGAGCGUAGACGGUUUGGCAAGUCUGAAGUGAAAUGCGGGGGCUCAACUCCUGAACUGCUUUGGAAACUGUCGAACUAGAGUGCAGGAGAGGUAAGUGGAAUUCCCAGUGUAGCGGUGAAAUGCGUAGAUAUUAGGAGGAACACCAGUGGCGAAGGCGGCUUACUGGACUGUAACUGACGUUGAGGCUCGAAAGCGUGGGGAGCAAACAGGAUUAGAUACCCUGGUA
rnacentral:rRNA from 1 species